CGGCCAGCCAUGGAGCGCUCUGGGCCCAGCGAUGGUGGGUUUCAUGAAGCGAGUCCGGGCGGGGUGGGCCGUGUCGGGGGAGCUGGGGCGCCGCACUAACUAGGCCGCCUCUCUUUUCCUCUUGCUCCAGUGACAGGCUCAGACGCAUUGGGACCGGACCCGCAGCUUGCGGUCACCAUGGGCUUCACGGGGUUCGGUAAAAAACCUCGCACAUUUGACUUGGAAGCAAUGUUUGAACAAACUCGAAGAACAGCCGUGGAAAGAAGUCGCAAAACACUGGAAGCAAGAGAAAAAGAGGAAGAAAUGAACAGAGAGAAAGAAUUAAGAAGACAAAAUGAAGAUAUUGAGCCAGCAUCCUCAAGAUCAAAUGUGGUCAGAGAUUGCUCCGAAUCAUCUUCCAGAAUCCUGUUCACAAGAUUCCUGACUCCCAUGAGAUAACGCUGAAGCAUGGCACUAAAACAGUGUCUGCUUUGGGUCUGGAUCCCUCAGGUGCCCGUUUGGUGACA
rnacentral:lncRNA from 1 species